rnacentral:lncRNA from 1 species
AUGUAAAAGUCGAUAUGGAGAUUGAAAAUCAAGAGAUUUAGUGGGUAGACGAUUAAUAAGAAAUACUACAGUUUCAAAGGCAUAAUCCCAGAAUUUGGGAGGUAAGUGAGAAUGAGUAAGAAGAGUGUGAGGUGUAUGAGGAUAGGAAAUGCAAUAAAAAAUGCCAUGAUUUUGUAGUUCAUUUUGAAAUGCAUGUGAUAAAAAUUUCUUGGUGCCAUC